GACAGAGGUGCCGAGCGUUAGGCGGAAUCACGGGGCUUAAAGCGUGUGUAGGCGGAUCGUUAAGUACCUUGUGAAAUCCCACGGCUUAACCGUGGAACUGCUGGGUAUACUGGCGAUCUUGAGCCACCUAGGGGCAACCGGAACAAAUGGUGGAGCGGUGAAAUGCGUAGAUAUCAUUUGGAACGCCAAUGGUGAAAACAGGUUGCUGGGGGUGUGCUGACGCUGAGACACGAAAGCCAGGGGAGCGAACGGG
rnacentral:rRNA from 1 species